GAUGAACGCUGGCGGCGUGCCUAAUACAUGCAAGUCGAGCGAACAGACGAGGAGCUUGCUCCUCUGACGUUAGCGGCGGACGGGUGAGUAACACGUGGAUACCUACCUAUAAGACUGGGUUAACUUCGGGAAACCGGAGCUAAUACCGGAUAAUAUAUUGAACCGCAUGGUUCAAUAGUGAAAGACGGUUUUGCUGUCACUUAUAGAUGGAUCCGCGCCGCAUUAGCUAGUUGGUAAGGUAACGGCUUACCAAGGCGACGAUGCGUAGCCGACCUGAGAGGGUGAUCGGCCACACUGGAACUGAGACACGGUCCAGACCACUACGGGAGGCAGCAGUAGGGAAUCUUCCGCAAUGGGCGAAAGCCUGACGGAGCAACGCCGCGUGAGUGAUGAAGGUCUUCGGAUCGUAAAACUCUGUUAUUAGGGAAGAACAAAUGUGUAAGUAACUAUGCACGUCUUGACGGUACCUAAUCAGAAAGCCACGGCUAACUACGUG
rnacentral:rRNA from 1 species